UGACGUAGGGUCGCGAAGCGUUGUCCGGAAUUAUUGGGCGUAAAGAGCUCGUAGGUGGUUUGUCGCGUUGUUCGUGAAAACUCACAGCUACUACGUGGCUGGUGCGGGCGAUACGGGCAGACUUGAGUACUGCAGGGGAGACUGGAAUUCCUGGUGUAGCGGUGGAAUGCGCAGAUAUCAGGAGGAACACCGGUGGCGAAGGCGGGUCUCUGG
rnacentral:rRNA from 1 species